GACAGAGGGUGCAAGCGUUGUUCGGAAUUAUUGGGCGUAAAGGGCGCGUAGGCGGUUAUAUGUGUCAAAUGUGAAAUCCCUGGGCUUAACUCAGGAAGUGCAUUUGAAACUGUAUAGCUAGAGUACUGGAGAGGGUGGUGGAAUUCCCAGUGUAGAGGUGAAAUUCGUAGAUAUUGGGAGGAACAUCAGUGGCGAAGGCGACCACCUGGACGGUAACUGACGCUGAGGCGCGAAAGCGUGGGUAGCAAACAGG
rnacentral:rRNA from 1 species